rnacentral:rRNA from 1 species
AAUAUUGUACAAUGGGGGCAACCCUGAUCCAGCCAUGCCGCGUGUGUGAAGAAGGUCUUCGGAUUGUACAGCACUUUAAGUUGGGAGAAAGGGCUUUGGGCUAAUACCCUGAAGUUUUGAGGUUACCAACAGAAUAAGCACCGGCUAACCCGGUCCCAGCAGCCGCGGUAAUACAGAGGGUGCAAGCGUUAAUCGGAAUUACUGGGCGUAAAGCGCGCGUAGGUGGUUCAGUAAGAUGGGUGUGAAAUCCCCGGGCUUAACCUGGGAACUGCUUUCAUAACUGCUGAGCUAGAGAACGGUAGAGGGUAGUGGAAUUUCCUGUGUAGCGGUGAAAUGCGUAGAUAUAGGAAGGAACACCAGUGGCGAAGGCGACUACCUGGACUGAUACUGACACUGAGGUGCGAAAGCGUGGGGAGCAAAC